GACGGAAAUCAAUCAUGAUUCCAUGGCUGAGGUGUCUAUUCCAGAUUGUGAAGAUCCGGGUUGCUAUGCACGACAGCCGAUUUAUAGUAUUACUAGAGAGCAAAUACACGAGGUCAUGAUGAAUUCAGUCAAUUGCAAGCAAUAUAUCAAGUUGCAAUGCCAAGGAGUAUUGAUGAGUUGGCAAGGUGACCCGAGAUCUUGGUGGGUAUCACGCGACGGAGUACAAAUGGGAUACUGGGGAGGAGCGACGUCUAGAAGAAAGGGAUACUGUGCUUGUGGAGAAACAAAUACAUGCAUCGAUAAGUCGAAGAAAUGCAACUGUGAUAACAACUCUAACAAUCUUGUGACGCAGGAUGAAGGUUAUAUUACGGAUAAAGCAUCACUUCCCGUGAAAGAAAUUAGAGUGGGUGAUAUGGGGGAUAUCAAAGAACUCGCUUGGCAUACCCUUGGACCUUUGGUGUGCACUGGCCAAGUUUAAAUGUCUACACGUUUAGAAGAGCAAAAGAAAACUUUCGAUGAUAUUUUGGUGUCCCACACACAAUCAGUUCAGCAGACCAAUGCCGACGGAUAAAGUUAUAACUAUAUUGGUUGAAAAAACCAACAAAAUACGAUUUAAUUUUUUUUUCACAAAUACGUUGUUGGACUUUAGCAAAUAUAUAUAUAUAUAUAUA